rnacentral:rRNA from 1 species
GAUGAACGCUAGCUACAGGCUUAACAUAUGCAAGUCGAGGGGAAACGACAUCGAAAGCUUGCUUUUGAUGGGCGUCGACCGGCGCACGGGUGAGUAACGCGUAUCCAACCUGCCCAUCACUUGGGAAUAACCUUGCGAAAGUAAGACUAAUACCCAAUGAUAUCCAUAGAAGACAUCUGAAAUGGAUUAAAGAUUUAUCGGUGAUGGAUGGGGAUGCGUCUGAUUAGCUUGUUGGCGGGGUAACGGCCCACCAAGGCGACGAUCAGUAGGGGUUCUGAGAGGAAGGUCCCCACAUUGGAACUGAGACACGGUCCAAACUCCUACGGGAGGCAGCAGUGAGGAAUAAUUGGUCAAUGGACGAGAGUCUGAACCAGCCAAGUAGCGUGCAGGACGAACGGCCCUAAUGGGUUGUAAAACUGCUUUUUAUAAGGGAAUAAAGUGAGCUACGUGUAGCUUUUUGCAUGUACCUUAUGAAUAAGGACCGGCUAAAUUCCGUGCCAGCAGCCG